UACGGGGGGGGCAAGCGUUGUUCGGAAUUACUGGGCGUAAAGGGCUCGUAGGCGGCCAACUAAGUCAGACGUGAAAUCCCUCGGCUUAACCGGGGAACUGCGUCUGAUACUGGAUGGCUCGAGUUUGGGAGAGGGAUGCGGAAUUCCAGGUGUAGCGGUGAAAUGCGCAGAUAUCAGGAGGAACACCUGUGGCGAAGGCGGCCCCCUGGUUGGAUACUGACGCUGAGACGCGAAAGCGUGGGGAGCAAACAGG
rnacentral:rRNA from 1 species